GGCAGGGGGAGGGCCCUCUCUCAGGCCCUCUCUCAGAAAGUGACUCUGUGUCACUUUCUGGAAAUUUAUCAUCAUUUCUGCUGAUCCCGAGUGACUUGGGUUAACUUUCACGUUUUUUCAUUUUUCUGAAAAUGUUGUGUAUGAUACCAAUCCUUCCACCAUUUGCUUUCGUUUCAGUGCCUGCAUCAUAAAUGGUCUGUUUUGUGAGAGAGGUCAAAAGCAUUCACAAAUAACCCGACCCCCAUGCCAGGUUGUCCACUGUCAUUUUGUGUUCUGGCAGCUUCUACGGUGUCUUUCCUUCCUGACCCUGGCUCAGACGCCCUCAACUCCGUUGAGUCAUCUUCUGUGUGGACUCUGUGCGGUGUCUGUCCUCAUACAAGUGACGGUGCACUUCAACCCACGUUAUUCAAGGUCAAUGAUGGAUAAGAUUCCCCAGAGAGGGCCUUGAGAAUCCCACGUUCAUCUGCCUCGCGCCCCAUGGUUCCCUGGCUCAUGGGCCAAGCGGUGAUCAUGCCCGCCCACCGUGCGCACAUAACCACACCUGAAGAGUGGGAUGAACUGCAGACGUUCUGCCUGGAUGGCCCCAGCCUCAUCCAUUCAGCGCCUUAUUGAAGUGGCAGCAUUGGACUGCUACUACCAACCUAAAGGAUGCUGAGGAUAAGAAGAAAGCAAGGGUGCAAAGUGCCUGGCAUAGCAGAGGAAGCGCAACAACUGGCUCCAUGUUUUCUAUUAACUUUGACAAGGGACCACUCUCUGGUCGUAGAAGAUUCUGUUUGGCCCAGUACCAGUGCAGAGGAGACCCACAGGGAUGAACCAACACCUUGGAUGAAUGGAUCCCCACCCUCCAACAAUGAGACCCACUGGCCAGACCCCUUUCCCAUGUCUCACUGGGCAAUGAGAGCAGAGGAAUGCCUUCACUCAUCAGCAACCCUAAAGCCAAGGAGAACCUUCCAGGAGGCAGGAGGCUGUAAGGGAGGAAGUGGAUCAGCAGCAGGAGCCACACCAGGCUGUCUUCCUUGGAGGACCUCUGAGUUUCAGCCUAACAGGGCCUUGUGCAGGUGCAGCCUCAUUGCACCCUGUCCUCAGAGCACAGGUUCACACAGACCACAGGUCCAGGCCCCAGUGGACUUGUCCUCCCACCUCAAAGACAUCAGUACCAGCCAUGAAGCAGCCCCCACUCUGAUGUCUGAAUUUCAACUCCACAGCCUCUUCUCUGUCCAUGAAGACAUGAUUACCACCCCAUUUCACAAAGGAGGACACUGAGGCUCAGUGUGGGGAAACCAAAGCCAUGAAGCUGAGGCACUAGAUGAAGAGUCUGAGCACCUGAUCUGGAGUACUUGUUCCACGCUGUCUCACUUGACCUGUGGCCUCAGUUUGCCCACCUGUAAAGUGGGGCUGCAGCUGGGUGUAGUGGCAAGAAUGCGGGCUCAGUACUUGCUUCAGACCCCAGUUCUGCUGCUCUUCUGUAAGUGGAAGACGAAGGGACAUCUACCUCAAGGGCGCUGUGAAGACUAAACCAGAGGCAGCACUUAGGUGACCUGGAAUGA